rnacentral:lncRNA from 1 species
GACACAGAAGGAAGACUGCCUGGAGGAGGAGGGGUUUGGGCUGGGCCUUGGAGGACAGAGGGCUUCCAUGGUGGAGUGUGGAGCACGGGCAGCGGGCACAGUGUGUGCAAAAAGGGCUCGCGGCAGUAGUGCGGUGGCGGGCAGAGGCCUUGAGAAGGCAUCGGUUGUUGAUACGGAAGUUGAGGAGCGCUGUGAAAGCCCUUGGCUUUGGAGCCACAAAGGCAAGAGAGAGCGUGGUUCACGAACAAUGGGUGGACUUGGACGAGAAAUGUCAGUCCGAAAAAUUCUUGGAGGAAAACCCCACGUCUAGCUCAAGAGUUCCUUGUCUCCAGGGCAUUUUGGUGAAAAGCUUGGCUUCCAGGACAUCUUGGAUGUAGCCAACACCGAAAGCCAACACUUGCCGUGGGGAGGAUUACUCACAACGUCUCUGACUUCUAAAGGAAAGAGCCGUGGAAACCAGCUCAGGCCUCUCUGGCGCUUGGAGAAACAUUUCUGGGUCAAGAAUUUCCAACCCAUAAAUUCCCCGUGUUUCAAAUUCACAGGAGGCCUGCGCAGGGCUGGGGUUUGCAUAACCUUUCACAUCACAGAACUUCCUGCUUCGUGGCCUCUGGACAAGCAUAUCAGGCUGGGCCAGGGUUCAGAAAGACAGGCUGAUGGAUUGAGAUAUAUAAACAGAUCUAAAGUCAGACCGAAGCUCAGUGCCCUGGAAUUUGUCUGAUGAAAAAGGGGAAAUUUUAAAAAUACUUUUUUUGCACAAAUUUUUUUGGAAUGUCCACAGGGGGAUUGGGCUCCAGCCUGGGGACAUUGGCAGGAGUCACGGCCUCUUUUUCACCCCAGUUUCCCUCCAUCGACACCAGCGUGGGUGUUGCCCGAGAGAAUUUGCCACAGUGACUCAUCUCCGGCACUUGUCCCCUCUCCAGAAUGCACCAAACAAAAGUCAGCGUCUUUGAAGCGGAGACUUGUUUAUAAACUCAAGGCUUUUUUUUUUUUUUGCAGAACAUUUUUGGGCCUUAGCAGAUUAUUAUUUUAACUUUUUCCCCCAGAUGUUCUCUCCAUAUUUGGGCAAGGCAAGAGGCUACUUUUAUUUGCUUUUUCAUGCGAAACCACAGCAUCUUGGAGAAGACAAUGGCUUCCUGGGCCUUCUCCCAAUCAUGGGUGAUCCUGGGCUGAGCCUUCAAGACCAACUCCGCUGCCUCUGAUAUUCUCCAGGUUCACAAACAACGGGUGGACUUGGACGAGAAAUGUCAGUCCAUAAAAAUUCUUGGAGGAAAACCCCACGUCUUGCUCAAGAGUUCUUAUCUCCAGGGCAU